AAGUCGUAACAAGGUUUCCGUAGGUGAACCUGCGGAAGGAUCAUUACAAAUCUUUGGGGGCCAGUCGCCUAGUGCGCUGGUCUCACAUUAGCACAAGGUCGCAAGGCCUUGAUGUUUACGCUUGUUUGUUUGACAGAGUUAGUUGAGAAAAAAUAAAGACAACUUUUAACAAUGGAUCUCUUGGCUCUUGCAACGAUGAAGAACGCAGUAAAGUGCGAUAUGUAGUGCGAUUUGCAUGAAUCUGUGAGUCAUCUAAUCUUUGAACGCAACUUGCGCCUUUUACGAGGCAUGUUUGUUUGAGUGCCGCAAUCUUCUGCAGCAAUGCGAUUUGACUCGUGUCUUUGUUGACCGAGUUUAAAGAAAGCUAGAGGAUGGUCAGUUUAGACUAGCCCGAGUGCUAAGCAUUCUUGGGUCUAGCGCUGGAUUGCUCAUUACAUCUAUUUUUUGUUUGGCCUCAAAUCAAGCAAGACUACCCGCUGAACUUAAGCAUAUCAGUAAGCGGAGGAAAAGAAACUAACAAGGAUUCCCCUAGUAACGGCGAGUGAAGCGGGAAUAGCUCAAAUUUAAAAUCUUGGCGUUAUGCGACACGAAUUGUAGUCUAAAGAGGGUGAUCUAGGGUUGGCAAUAUGCUCAAGUCCCUUGGAAUAGGGCGCCAGAGAGGGUGAGAGCCCCGUAAAAGCAUGUUGCUGGCCUCAAGUGAGAACCUCUCAACGAGUCGAGUUGUUUGGGAAUGCAGCUCAAAGUGGGUGGUAAAUCUCAUCUAAGGCUAAAUACUGGCAAGAGACCGAUAGCGAACAAGUACCGUGAGGGAAAGAUGAAAAGCACCUUGAAAAGGGAGUUAAAUAGUGCGUGAAAUUGUUAAAAGGGAAACGAUAGAGACUAGUAUUGGGCGUAGGCUAAGCUGGUGUUUCGGCAUUGGUGGUGCUUGCGCUUCGAGUCAAUGUCAGUUGUUUCUGCCGGAUACGGCUUGGAGAAAGAUGGGGUCGACUUCGGUCUUCCUUUUAUAGUCUCUGAUGCCUGCGGCCGAGGCGACUGAAAGUCUUGGAACGCUAGGCUACUCGGGGGUAGUAAGUGGCAGACAGCGUGCUGACUGUUGCUCUACUUGCCCUCUACUAACCGACGCCUACCUGGACGCCUUUGACGAGAUGGUCUUUAACGACC
rnacentral:rRNA from 1 species